rnacentral:rRNA from 1 species
UAUCUCUGUAGAGUCUGCAUAUCAAUAAGCGGAGGAAAAGAAACUAACAAGGAUUCCCCUAGUAACGGCGAGUGAAGCGGGAAGAGCUCAAAUUUGAAAUCUUAAAGGGUUUCCCUUUACGAAUUGUAGUUUAAAGAAGUGUUUUCCUGUUGAGGUUUUGGUAAAAGUUCUUUGGAAUAGGACAUCAUAGAGGGUGAGAAUCCCGUAUUUGACCUUUACUUUCAACUUUGUGAUACACUUUCAAAGAGUCGGAUUGUUUGGGAAUGCAGUCCAAAAUGGGUGGUAAAUUUCAUCUAAAGCUAAAUAUUGGCGAGGACCGAUAGCGAACAAGUACCGUGAGGGAAAGAUGAAAAGAACUUUGAAAAGAGAGUUAAACAGUACGUGAAAUUGUCAAAAGGGAAGCGUUUGACACCAGUGUUGUUUUUCUGAAAAUCAAUUAAAGAACUGUUUAUGCUAAGUUGUUUAGACUUUAUCAGCUAUCUGUUUAGUUUUGAGCUUUUCUUUAAUGCACUUUUCAGUUAACAAGUCAACAUCAAUUUCCUUUUGCUGUAAAAAAGCUUGAGGAAGGUGGCUUGAGAUUCGUCUUAAGUGUUUAUAGCCUCUUGCCUAUGCAGUCGGAGAGAUUGAGGUCUGCAGCGUAGAUCCUUCGGGGCUAAAUGCAUUUGUGCUAAGUUAUAGCAUUUUAUAGACAACUUGUUGACUAUGAUUUGUCUUGUAGCUUACUCGCUUAUGUUAUUUUACCUACGCUUAGGAUGUUGAGCGCAUGUCUCUCUCU